rnacentral:lncRNA from 1 species
UUUCUCUCCAGCAGCCCCCAGAUCCCUCUCCUCAAAUGCCAAGCCGCCGUCAUGUGGAUGACCAGCAUCCUCAAGCUGUGCGCGACUGUUUUUAUGACCUUGUAGUUCCCCUUAAGUCUCCGAUUUUGGCAAAGCAGAGGAGAACCGAUGGCCUAAUUUCAAGCUAAGCUUUCGUUUUUUUUUUGCACACUCAAAUUGCGAAGGAACAAAUGAAAAUAAAAAUAACAAGAACAAACUGAACAAAGAAGAAAAGAAGAGUCUCAGAGAUUUGAAUCGAAAUCACCUUCGAAUACUCGUUGCUUUUUUUGGUAUAUUCCUCUAUUUUUCGUUUUCUAUUGUUUUUGUAUGCGUAAAUGUGCGUAACAAAAAAAAAUGGACGACUCUGGCUUUAUAGCCGAAACAGAAUCAGAAAGAUAAAAAAUACCAAUACAAAAUUCCUCUUUUCCUAUUUGCUGUUGUGGUUUUAUAUUCUUUUGCAGGUACGGGUGCAAGGUGCGUGUACGGGGGUCGUGCUGGAGCUUGGCGUGGGCGUACGAGGGCUGGGGCUGCUGUCCAGUUGCUGUUGCAGCGCAGGAGAAAAGGGGUGACCUAGGGUUUGCCGAAAUUGGUUUGGUAUUUGGGCCGUUUGGGCCUGUUAUGGGUAUCGGGUUAUGUUAGGGAUAGAUAUUUUUGGGCCAAUAAACUGUUAAUAUUGGUUGUAAUAUUUGGACUUUUAUGAUAGACUAUUAGUUUGGUAUUAUUCUUUGGACUUUUGGUUUAAUAACUUGGUAUUUAUUUUGGGUUUUGGUUCUAACGUGGGCCUGGGCAAAUUAGCCCAUUUACAACUGCCCCUCUUUGCUCAUUGUCGUACAACGAGAAUAGAGCAAAGACUAUAAGAAGGCCAAUUUUGCCCGGGCGGGCUGAGCCUUGGCUCUUCUUAGUGCUUCUUUUCUUCAAGUAACUUCAAUACGCCCCAUCGCAACUUCAGGGAGACAUGGUCCGUGUGUUUUUAUCCUGCUCUACUGCAACUUCAGAGAGAUAAGGAUUAUGACUUCGAUCUGCUUCACUGCAACUUCAAGGAGACAAGAUCUGCAAUCUUCAGCCUACUCCACUACAUCUUUAGGGAGUUAGGUUGGUGGUGUAAAUCUGCUUCACUGCAACUUCAGGAAGCCAAGAUUCGCCGUCUUCGAUAUGCUCUACUGCAACUUCAGGGAAACAAGAUCUAAAAUUUCAGCCUACUUUACUACAACUUUAGGGAGCUAGGUUGGUGGCUUAAAUCUUCUUCACUGCAACUUCAGGAAGCCAAGAUUCAUCGUUUUCGAUCUGCUUCAUUGCAACUUCAGGGAAACAAGAUCUAAAACUUCAGCCUACUCCACUACAACUUUAAGGAGCUAUGUUAGUGGCUUAAAUCUGCUUCACUGCAAUUUCAGGAAGCCAAGAUUCACCGUCUUCAAUCUGCUUCACUGCAACUUCAGGGAAGCAGGAUCUAAAAUUUCAGCCUCCUCCACUACAACUUUAGGGAGCUAGGUUGGUGGCUUAAAUCUACUUCACUGCAAUUUCAGGAAGCCAAGAUUCACCGUCUUCGGUCUGCUUCAGUGCAACUUCAGGGAAACAGGAUCUGAAAUUUCGCCAAUGUCACUACACUGUCUUCUAAAGACAUGAUUUGUAGAAUUGGUUUCCUGUAUCUGUGUAUGUCAAAUAAUUAGGAUGCUAUGAUCGAGAUGAAUCAAAUGUCCCUAACUAGAUGUGGUGUUUAUGUCAAAUAAUUAGAGUGCUAUGAUUGAAAUGAAUCAAGUGCUCCUAACAAAAUGAGUGAUUAUGAAUGUAGAAAUGUCAUGAGAGUAAUUCCUUUUUCAACUCUUAAGUUAUCAUUGCUCAUAAUUCAUCAGGGUUCUAUCAUUGAUGUGUUGUCGAGUCUUCUUGCUUAGCCACUAUCUCUGACAGAAAAUUUGCAGAAAUAGCCAUAAUUUGGACUACUCUUUUUCCAAUGUUUUCCAUUUUUGAGUCUGGUUAGUUCUGAAUAGUGGCCCUGUUUCAGGUCCUUGUACUAUUUAGAGACUUUCCAGUGUAAUAUGCAUAACAUCUUUUGUGUGAAUAUUACAUGUCCAAAAAUCGCGAUUUCAACAAAAAAGCUCGAAAGAGAUUAUCAUAAUAGACAAAAUGGAAUUUUAUUGAGUAAAACUUGAAGUGAAUACAUCAAACAGGAUAGCAAAUCUACUAAGGCACAAAAUAAAAAUGAGAAAAGAGGUACCCCAGUUAUCGCAGCACGAGUUUCACUAUUCUAAUUUCUCAAAGGUUCCUUUGAACCAAAUGUGUAUUCAGGAGAUCCUACGUAUUUUGUUGAUGCUGCAAGGUGUACUGUUCUUCUGUCUUGCUGAUUUCGGGAGGACAAGACUACCAUAUGCCCCAUAUUCAAAAUUUGAGCUACCCGUUUUCGGGUUUUCAACUCAAAAGCCCCUUUGGUCUCAAAAUGCCCUUUGCGGGUUUUCACCUUGGCCUCUCCAUCUUUUUUUUUUGGUCUCAAACCGCCCUUUGCGGGUUUUGGCCUUGGACUUUCCUUUUUAAGUAAAAUACUUCUUGACGGCAUCUGAAUUUACGGGAUGGGGCAGGUUUUUACCAUCCAUCUCGACUAGAAUUAAUGCUCCUCCGGAGAAAGCUUUUUUUACCACGUAGGGCCCCUCCCAAUUAGGCAUCCAUUUUCCUCAAAAAUCUUUCUGUAUGAGAAGGAUCUUUUUCAAAACUAGGUCUCCCUCGUGGAAUUCUCUAGGGCGAACCUUUUUGUCAUAACCCCGCAUCAUUCGUUUUUGGUACAUUUGACCAUGACGGAUAGCUCUUAGCCUCUUUUCCUCAAUUAAGUUCAAUUGAUCAUAUCGAGACUGGAUCCAUUCUGCUUCAUCCAACUUUAGUUCUGACAACACUCAAAGGGAUGGGAUCUCGACUUCGAUUGGCAAAACCGCUUCCAUUCCAUAAACUAAAGAGAAAGGCGUUGCCCUAGUUGAGGUUCUGACUGAUGUUCGACAAGCAAAGAGGGCGAAUGGUAACUUCUCAUACCAAUCUUUGUAGGUCUCGGUCAUCUUCCCCACAAUCUUUUUGAUGUUUUUAUUGGCUGCUUCCACUGCCCCGUUCAUCUUCGGACGAUAUGGUGACGAGUUGUGGUGUCUGAUCUUGAAUUGACUGCAUACUUCCGCUAUCGUACUAUUAUUCAGGUUUAAUGCAUUGUCAGAUAUGAUCCUCUCCGGCAUUCCAUAUCGACAUAUGAUCCCCUAUUUUAGAAAUUUGCUCACUGCUGAUUUUGUAACACUAGCAUACGAAGCAGCUUCUACCCACUUGGUAAAGUAGUCAAUAACCAUAAAAAUAAACCGAUGCCCAUUGGAAGCCUUAGGCGAUAUCGGUCCAAUCACAUCCAUUCCCCACAUAGAGAAAGGCCACGGGGAAGUCAUGACAUGCAGCGGUGAAGGAAGCACAUGAAUUUUGUCUCCGUAGAUUUGGUAUUUAUGACAUCUCUUGGCGUAAUUGACACAGUCUCCUUCCAUAGUGGACCAAUAGUACCUGAAUCUCAUAAUUUACCUGGCCAUUGUAAAGCCAUUAGCGUGUGUCCCACAGACGCCUUCAUGGACCUCUUCCAAGAUUUUCUUAGCCUUUACAGCGUCCACGCAUCUUAAUAGCACUUCAUCCUUCCUUCUUUUGUAUAGGAUCUCCUCAUCUAAGACAUAGUCGAUAACCAAUCUUCUCAGCGUCCUUUUGUCAUUCUCGCUUGCCUGGUCCGGGUAUUCACGAGUCUUCACGUAUUGCAAUAUAUCGUAAUACCAAGGGUGAUCGUCUUUUUCCUCAUCUUCUUCAAUAUUGUAACAGUGAGCCGGAGUUUCAUAAAUGCUCAUCUGGAUGGGUUUGACGUCUUCUUGUUUGUUCACCUUGAUCAUGGAAGCUAAGGUAGCCAAAGCGUCAGCCAUUUGAUUUUCGUAUCGUGGAAGGUAGCAGAAGGUAAUGUCAUCGAACUCUUUAACCAAUUCAAGGACCAGUUUUUGAUAGUCAAUCAACUUGGGGUCUCUGGUCUCCCAUGCUCCCUUGAGUUGAUAAAUUACUAGCGCGGAAUCCCCAUAUACCUCUAGCGCUUUAAUCUUGCAUUCUAUGGCUGCACGGAUACCUAUGAUGCACGUCUUGUAUUCUGCCAUGUUAUUCGUACAAUCAAAAUCCAAUUUGCUAGUAAAUGGAUAAUGAUCUCCGUUUGGGGAUGCCAAGACUGCCCCAAUUCCAUUACCCACGACAUUUGAUGCCCCAUCAAAGUUUAGUUUCCAGGGAAGUUCUUCCAGAGCACCUUCUUCAGUGGUCGCAACACACAUCAGGUCUUCGUUUGGGAAGUCAAAGUUCAAAGGCUCGUAGUCUUCCAAAGCUCUACUAGCCAGAAAAUCUGCUAUUACACUCCCUUUUACGGCUUUCUGGUUCACAUAGACUAUGUCAAAUUCAGAGAGCAGAAUCUGCCAUCGGGCCAUCCUUCCAUUCAAAGCUGUUGACUCCAUCAUGCACUUUAAAGGGUCCAAUUUUGAGAUGAGCCAAGUGGUGUGAUACAACAUAUACUGCCUCAGCCUUCGGGUUGUCCAAAUUAGGGCACAACACAACUUUUCUAUCGGCGGGUACCUUGUCUCACAUUAAGUGAACUUUUUACUGAGAUAGUAAAUAGCUUUUUCUUUCCUUCCUGACUCAUCAUGCUGACCCAGUACACAUCCCAUAGAAUUCUCAAAUACUGCCAGAUACAGUAUCAAUGGCUUAUCGAGGUUAGGUGGCAUCAGCACCGGAGCGUUGGACAAGUAUUGUUUGACCUUGUCGAAAGCCCUUUGGCAUUCUUCAUCCCAUUCACCUGGGUUAUGUUUCUUGAGGAGGCGAAAGACAGGGUCACAUUUCUUGGUUAGUUGUGAAAUGAACCAAGCAAUGUAAUUUAAUCUUCUUAGAAAGCCUCGAACCUCUUUCUGAGUGCGCGGCGGAGAUAGCUCUUGUAUGGCUUUGACUUUGUCUAGAUCGAUCUCGAUCCCUUUCUUAUUGACCACGAAUCCAAGCAACUUUCCAGACUUGGCUCCGAAGGUACAUUUGGCUGGGUUGAGUUUUAGCUGAAACUUCCUCAACCUCAAGAACAAUUUUCUUAGGACUUGUAUGUGCUCCUUCUCUGUUCGAGACUUUGUGAUCAUAUCAUCGACAUAAACCUCGAUUUUUUUAUACAUCAUGUCGUGAAAAAGGGUUACCAUGGCUCUUUGAUAAGUUGCCCUCGCAUUCUUCAGCCCAAACGACAUCACUUUGUAGCAGAACGUGCCCCACAUGGUUACAAAUGUGGUCUUCUCCAUAUCUUCAGGAUGCAUCUUGAUCUGGUUAUAUCCAGAAAAACCGUCCAUGAAUAAAAACAGUGAGUGUCCUGCCGUGUUGUCCACUAGGGUGUCGAUAUGAGGCAGUGGGAAAUUGUCUUUCGGGCUGGCCUUAUUCAAAUCUCUGUAGUCCACACACAUUUGUACUUUUACAUCUUUCUUAGGGACGGGGACGAUAUUGGCUACCCAAUCUGAGUAUUUUACCACCUUCAGGAAUCCGGCGUUGAACUGCUUUCGAACCUCCUCUUUUAUUUUUAGCAAGACGUCGGGCCUCAUUCUUCGGAGUUUUUGCUGAACUGGCUUACAUUCUUCUUUUAUGGAGAGUCGAUGCACCACGAUGUCAGUGUCCAACCCAGGCAUAUCUUGGUAUGACCAUGCGAAGACAUCUUUGAAUUUUUGAAGUAAUUCAAUGAGGUCUCGCUUCAUCUCCAUAGUGAUACAUGUUUCGAUCUUCACCUCUUGUCCUUCUCCUAAGCUCACAAUUUCAACCGAUUCUUUGUGAGGUAGGAUCUGUUUCUCGUGUUGUUCUACCGUUCUCAACAAAUCAGGAAAUAGGUUACAACCUUGGUCAUCCUCAAAAUCCUGAGGAUCCUCCAUACACACAUCUCGCUCAAAAGGAAAUUCUGAGUCGCUAGCAGUGUCACUCGUAUCAUUAAUAUUUGGGGACCUGUUAUGAGGAUGACGGCAGAUACAAAGAAUCAAAAGAAUUCGAAACAUUUAUUUGUAGUAUGAUUAUGAAUGACGAAUGAAAGAAUAUUUAGAAUGUUUAAAGAAUAAAAGAAUCCGAAAGUAAUCAUUUGUAUGGUUAUGAAUGGGAUUGAAAGGAUGAGAGAACAUUUGCUCAAAAAUGAUAAUAACCGUGCAUUUUAUUGAAAUAACGUUUUUAAACCUCAGCCUAUUUCACAAAAGAUUCUUAUUACUCCUAGGCCUAGAGCAAUAAGUGUGUUUUAGACAUUACUCUGAAUCAGUUCUAAAAACUACAGGAAUCUCUUCUGCAGUCCAGUUAUCCAAAACACUUUCAGGUGCAUAGGGGGAAAUGCCCGACACAUUUUCUCCUCCAGCCUCUUCGUCGUAUGUGGCGUUAAUGUCCAAGCUUUCUAACCUUUCUUCUAUGGCUCCCGUCAUUGGCGUGUCUCUCUCGGGGUGAAUGAUUCCCCCAGACACAAAUGUUUUCGAUAUUUGGGGGAUUAUCAUUGGUCCCCACUUGAUUUCCUCCCCCGUUAACCGUGCCCUCAUUCUCUCUUGCUUCUUUUCCAGCUCCAUUCUCCUUUUUUUCGCAUCUGGCUUAAAUCCUAAGCCGAAGCGGUCUCUCUUGUCCUUCAGCGUUGGCAUUUCUAUCCCUCCUUGUAGAUGCCUCCUAAGUCCUCUUUUGGGUAGGGCCCCUUUUCCAAUCGUCAACUGUAGGCUCAUCCUCGUGGUUUUGGACAAUUUUGGCACCAAAAUCUUGCUUCCCUCGGUGAUGAAGGUUGCAUUAACAAAUUCCAAAGAUCGAAAUGAACAUUCAAUUGCCUCAUCAUCUGUCUGCAAGUAUAGGGUGCAUUAUUGCUCAUAGUUACAAUAAUAUCCUCUUCAGACUUAAUCGUUAUCAACCUCCCCUCCGAUACCAGCUUCAAUUUUUGAUGCAACGAGGAAGGCACUGCCCCAGCUAAAUGUAUCCAGGGCCUCCCCAAUAAGCAAUUAUAUGAGGGCUUGAUAUCCAUCACAAGGAAAUCCACCUAGUAUGUGUUUGACCCGAUCUGAAGAGGUACCUCGAUUCUACCCAUCACCUUCCUCUCCAUGCCAUCAAAUGCCUUCACAAUGUUCUAGCACUCCUUCAUGUGAGAGUUGUCUAUAGGUAACCUAUUUAGCAUGGUCAAUGGCAGGACGUUCAAAGCCGAUCCAUUUUCAAUCAGUACGCUUGGCAGCAUAUACCCUUUACAGUGCGUAGUGAUAUGCAAAGCUUUAGUCGACCCCAUGCCUCAGGGUGGUAUCUCAUCGUCAUUGAAGAAAAUAUAGUUGUCAGCACUGAUGUUGCUAACCAAACGGUCCAACUUGUUAACAGAGAUAUCAUUGGCAAUAUAUGUUUCAUUCAAGACCUUCAUUAGCGCGCUGCGAUAGACUUCCAAGCUUAGAAGUAAGGCUAGCACCGAGAUACGAGCCGAUUGUUUAAGUAGCUGUUCCACCAUACUGUAUUCGCUAUGCUUUAGGAAUUUUAAAAAUUCCUUGGCCUCCUCUUCGUUAACUGGCUCGUUAAUAGGUUUGGUUUCUUUUUCUUUCAUUUCCUCGACCACUGGGGCUUUUUCUUUUACGGGUUGUACCUCCUCAUUUACUAUAUCGUAACAUCUCCCACUACGUGUAUAGGAGCCCCUAUCUUGACCCUCUUUUAAAGCGUCCACCAGGCUUUCCUUCCCCGGAAUCGUCACGUUGCAAUCAUAAUUCCAUGGGACCUUUUUGUUGUCGUUGUAGGGGAAGACAGCAGGUCUUUGGAUUAUGACCCUUGGUGGCAUUUGUACUCCAGCUUCAUUAUUUUUGGGUCUCGAUAUGAUAACUACGAGAUAGUUAGCUGUUUGAUUCUGUACCGUCGAUUCUCCUUCCGACGCACAUAUAUCUCCCUCUACGGGGUUUUUAGCUUCUUGAUAAAACUUCAUUUCUUUAUUAUCUAUCAUGUUCUGCACGAGGGCCCUGAACCCUACACACUCUUGGAUUUCAUGCCCCACCUCAUUGUGGAACUCGUAGCAGUUCAUCUCUCCUUCAGAUGCUUCUCUUGAAUCCAACACGAUCAAACCUCUCUUGACCAUCUCCUUCCAUACCUGUCUCAAUGGGGUCCUGACUUCUGCCACCUUAUACUUGAUCUUCUUGUUCCUACCUUCACUUAUCCCAUUCACUCCUUGGUCGGUAUGAUUGGGGAGUGGGUUUCCUGCUACAUUGGGUGUGGCUGGGUUGUCAAAUCUCACGAUCCCCAUCUUAACGAGUCUUUCGACUACUUUUUUAAAUGCAGUACAGUUUUCAAUUGAGUGCCUGGUGAUUCCCGCGUGGUAUUCACAUUGGGCGUUUGUGUUAUACCAUUUGGGAUACGGGGGCUGCAGUGGCUUCAGGUAGAAAGGAUACACUACGUGAGCAUUGAACAGGUUCUGGUAGAGCUCCCUAUGUGUCAUGGGUAUAGGGGUGAAUUGUGGCCUUUUUGUGUUCUCCCUCGCAUUGGAUUCUUGUCUUACAGAGCUACGUUGAUUGACGGCUACCGUCUUUGGCUGAUUUACGGUAAGUGACUUGGACUGACCUUUGUUGAAUGUGCUCGUGUUGUUCACUUCAUUAUCUCUUUUCCUCGGGGCUGACUUUCUGGUACCCUCUCCCGAUUCUAUCUUACCGCUUCUCACAGAAUUUUUGAUCAUUUCCCCCUUCAUCACUAUGUCGGAGAAGCUCUUGGUGGCGCUUCCCAACAUAUGAGUGAUAAAAGGGGCCUUCAAGGUGUUGAUAAAGAGCAUUGUCGUUUCUUUUUCCAGAAGCGGCGGCUGAACUUGUAUGGCCACUUCUCUCCACCUUCGUGCAUACUAUCUAAAGCUUUCAUUUGACUUUUUCUCCAUAUUCUAGAAAGUGAUUCUGUCGGGGGUCAUGUCCAUCAUGUGAUUGUAUUGCUUCAUAAAGGCCUGAGCCAGGUCCUUCCACGAGUUAAUUUUAGAGCGGCUUAAUUUGUUGUACCACUUUGAUGCCGCCCCGACCAGACUAUCUUGAAAGCAGUGGAUUAAUAGCUGGUCAUUGUUAACGUAUCCCAUCAUUCGUAUGCAGAACAUAGUGAUGUGGGCUUCAGGGCAGCUUGUUCCAUUGUAUUUCUCGAAUUCGGGCAUUUUGAAUUUAGGGAGAAGGACUAAAUCUGAGACCAAACUCAGGUCUUUGGCAUCAAUCCCUCGAUGAUGAUCUGUGCUUUCAUGGCUUUAGAUUUCUCCUCGAGCCAUCUACAUCGUUCUUCCAAAUGUUUUUGCGAAUAUAUCCUCGCCUUUUCUUCAUCAGCAACUUUAUCCAAAUCGGGAACGGGCGGAUGGUUCGGGUUGUUGACAAAGUUAGAGCCUGAGCCAGUUUGGAAGUUCAUUGGUAUUGAAGCUCUGGCCUAAACCUGCUGGGGCAUGAUUGUGAUAGAUGGUUUUGGUAGAUUAAUCUCGGGCUUUAUCGGUAUAUGUGUCGGAGUGAAGCCAGGGGGUACUGAAGAUCUUCAUUAGUUUCCUCAACUUUGUCCAUGGGGCCCUUUCCCUUAUCUGUACCUCCCAACAGCAAUUGGGAUAACUGGGUCAUCAUUUCUCUCUAGGACUCCAUCAUUUGCUCUUUCAUUUCUCGCUGAAUCUUGGCUAGCUGCUCUUGCAUCUGAGACUGCAUUUGUUCUUGCAUGUCCUUUUGCAUUUGCUCCAAUUUCUCGAGUCUCUUAUCCAUUGAUUUUUUCCUUGUACUGUAGGGGUGCGUGGUUGGUUGGUUUUCGUUGGUUUCCAGGUUACUGAAAUAAUUUUUAAUUAAUUAAUUAGAAAACUCUUAUGGCCUUUAAUGCAUAAUGAUAUGAUGUAAUGCAAAUGCAUGAAUGCAAAGGAGGCACCAAUUUUGAUUCAAUUGCCUUUAGAAAAUUUCACUUGAAAAUAAAAUCUUUUACAUAAAGUUGAGUUACAAACAAAAUUUUGCUCUAACACUCAAAGUCUUAAUUUUUCUAAGCAACGAGGCCAGCUCUUGUCCAUGAUCUGACUCCAACUCAUACUUCACGCUCAGUGUGUCCGCCUGAAUCGCUAAAGUUUGCAAGUAGUCAGCUACCUCCCGAAUCUGGGUUAUGGCUUCCCUCAUAAGGUAAUCUCUGUUUCUGACUUGGUCUUGCACAUGGUGAAGCUGCUUUUUCCAACGAUCCUCGUUUGCCUCGAAAAACUGGAUCCGCAUCUCACAGUUUUGCAGUGACGCCUCAAACUGUUCUAUUUUUCCUAUCUUGCUCAAGCUUGCCCUCAAUUCCAUUGCGGUGUUGCAGUUUCGGUACUGAUGCAGAGACUUCUCGAGUUCUGCCACUCUAGCCUUUAAUUUACCUUGACCAUUUCUACUUUUCGACAGAUUCUUCUCUAAAUCCUUGUUUCGUGCCUGAGCUUCUCGGAAUUUCCUUUCCCAUCGAUCGGCAUUGGUCUUUUCUUCUCGAAUUUCAUGGCGCCAUUGUUCGGAAGUCUUACCUAACCCCGCAGUCCUCAUAGAUAGGCACAGCUUCUUAUAGUCAGUCUUCAAGCUGUCUAGAUCUUCUUCAGCCUUAGUUUUCCCUUUUCUCCACUUUUCAGCCUCUGACCUCUGAACAUCAGCGUCUAAUCUUAUGUGCAUCUUUUCUUCUUCCAAUUGUUCAAUCUUUUUCCCAAGCUCCGAAUUCUUCUUCUCAAAAUAUUGCCUUAUAAUUUCCAAUUCUAACGGGGCGACUUGUAAUUGUUCUCCCAUAGGUCGAGCAUUCUCCGAGCUUGGCCUAAGAAUGUUAUCGUUAACCCUCUUUUUAAACCAUCCCUCAUACUCGGGCGUUACCAUAGAACCGACGACCAAUCUCUUCAUCCAACAAGUUUGCUUCCAAGCAUCCGAUAGCUCCCGAACUUUCUUCUUAUAGUGAAUACCUUUAAACGAGAAUUCACUCUGAGCAAGUUCAUAGGUCGUGGGUACAAACUGCCUCGACUUAUAUUGCCUCAACGCAAGUAAUGGAGUAUACCCGGUAGCUCCCCAAAUUCUUAAUAACGGCACCCAAUCAAAGUUACCACAUCGGUACAUGAUCUCAUCAGGAACCAUCCAAUAUGCUCUCCACUCGAUAUCUCCCUCCUUGAGGUUUUGAACAAUUUCCAUCCACUUCUCCUCUGAGAUAUCCUCUCUCAUUUGUACAGCUGCCUCUUCUUUUAACGGGGAAUAACCUUCGGAAAAGACCCGGUAAGAAAAUUUGUCUACUUUCCAAAAGUGCCCAAGAAACCAUACCGUUAACAAUUGUGCACAUCCAAUAAACUGUCCCUCGCCCGUCUUCCGGCACGAGCUCAAAGAUCUAAACGUCUCAGCCAAUAUUGUCGGUACCGGUGAGAUUCCCUUCUCAAGGCGAUCGAAUAAGUCAAUGACUGCCUCGUCCACAUGUCUCAAAGCCUUAGGAAAGAUUACUAAUCCAUAGAUGCUUAAGGCGAAGAUAUCGACCCUCUUUCUUUCAUCUGGAUGUGUCAAAAUCAAAUCUCACAAAUUCUCCCAAAGGAUACAUUUACUAUCUGUUUUUUGUUGAAUCCGAGCAGCGACCCAAGGCUCGCUCAUCCCUGAAAUGCUCAUCAAUUUCUUCACGAAAGCCUGACUAUUAGAAACCCGGGCAUAAGUCUUUCUGACCUGAAUUUUUGGGCACCUGAGCAGAGUAGUGUAUUCCUCUAUGGUAGGUGUAACACCCCAAACCCGGCCCAGACGUUAUGAUCGGAUCCGACAUGUGUUCAAAACAUUUUAUAUUAUUGGUCCAAAAAAACUUACUUAGUGUUUUAAAAGAUAAUUUCAUUAUAGGUUAAAGUGAAUGGAAGCUGUGCACCAUGUAGGAAACCGGAAAAGAGGUGGUGAGUCCAUCGGACUGCUUAAGUACCAAGCUCCCUUCGGAUCCAAUCCUAGACAUGCAUAUCGCCAUUACCACACCUUAACGUCAUGGAUAUUUCUAGGAAACCGAUUUGAUUAAGUUAUUUUUAGGAAAAGUGAUUAAUUUUGGAAAAUACUUUCAUUGCGGAAGCUUUGCUUGUUGUCGUGUUAUUUUGAAAUCAACUGUUGUUUUUGAAAACGCGCCCUAAAGCUAUCCAAUUUCAACAGUUAGAAUAAGUAAUACCUAUCUUAGUAAUACAUAUUAAAACCAUUAAAAAUAAUUAAGCGGCCUUAUUACAUUUAAAAACCCAAAACUUCAAACGUAAAUAAAAGGAUGUCCAGUUCACCAGAAGAAAAUCAAACUUUCAGAACGGGUGGCCACCCGAAUUCCCUCACAGCUCCAAGUCCACUAUGGUUGGGGAUUUCCUGCGUGGAUGAAAAUAAAAGGGGUGAGUUUGGAGAAACUCAGUGUGUAAGGAAAACCCAUUCAAAGCCCAAGUCAGCUCAAGCCUAUUGGGCCUAAGCCCAUUCAGGUAACAGUGGUACUGGGCCAGAGCCCUUUUCAGAUUACAAUAAACUGGGCCUUAGCCCCUUAUUCAGAUAACAGAAUGGCCCAUAGGCCCAUUUUAAAAUACAUGCAACAUCAAUAAACAUAUGCAAGCCCAUUUGGGGAGACUACUCAACCCACCAACCACUACACUCCACCCGUACCUGCCAUACACUCCAUGUGGGGAAUAGCUCAACCCACCCAGCCCAACACUCCACAGUUGCAGCCUUGCUGCUCAGUUAACAAUAAAUUGAGGCAAAGCCUCCAGUACGUGGACAAGCCACUUUCAGUACUUCCUCCAUCAAUAUCUCAGUCCCAUGCAUCAGAUAAUAACAACAUGGCAUGCAGUAAAUAACAACAGUCAAACAUGCAUUUAGGUCAAUUUAACCCUAGGGGUAUUUCGGUAAUUUAUCUCCUAGGGGUAAAACUGUAAAUUUUCCACUUUUAAAGAUAUUUCAGUAAUUUAUCUAUUUUAGGGUUUUUCAUGCAUAUUCCUACCUUUCACGUACUAAUAGAAUCACUACCGAGGGUUCUUACCGAAUUGGGCCCAUUGGCCCAUCAUUCCAAUUUUGGCCCAUUAUAAAAUAUCGAGGGCACAGAAAUCAUGCACUUUGCAAUCCAAAUUUUGCAGUUUACCAAAAACAUUAAUCGAUUUACCUCACGAGCAUUCGCACACUCGCAAAUCUACAAAAUACCAGUUUUCGGCAUUUCGGCUUUUCGACUUUUGCCGAUCCAGACUAAGAAAGAGGGUGUUAGUUACACACCUGUUUGCGACGAUAUGCUGACGAGAUCCACACACGAACCACCUACAAUUGGAUUACUAACACGUUAAUCUAACUAUUCAAAUAAAAACUACGUAUUAACCCCUUACAAUAUUCGGCCAACCACACCUAUAGAUUAUAGUAAGCUUAUAAGAAAUCAAUAAACAACUCAUUAACAAAUUUUUGUCAAUGUUUACCACAUACUCACAAUUUCACUGCAAGCUGUCUUCUUAAGCAACAGUCACUAAAUCAUUUAUAACUAGAGCUACGAAACUCCAAAUCAAGUUCCGUUAAUUUUCCCUGAAAAUAGACUCAUAUAUCUUAUAUCCAUAAAAUUUUCAGAAUUUUUGGUUUGGCCAAUCAAUACCAGAUUUUUCUCAAAGUUUCGCAUGUUUCACUGUUUGACUAAUCUGACCACUCUUCAUUACGAAUCAAAUUUCUCAUUGUACAGAAUUCAAAAUAUGUUCUCGUUUAUUUAAUUUGAAACUAGACUCCAAAAGCUUUAAUUACAUAAUUUAUUCAGCUUCUAAUUCAUCUCCCACAAUUUAUGGUGAUUUUCCAAAGUCACGUUACUGCUGCUGUCCCAAGCAGAUUUAUUAUCAAAUUCACUCUUUCACACAUAACUUGCAUGCAUGUUAUUUAGACAUGUAUAUCACCAAUCAAUCAUCACAUAUCUAUGAUUUUACUUAAGUAUAAUCUCCAUUUCAUCAUUUUAAAGCACAACAUGUUAGCCAAUUUUUCCCUUUAGCAUCUAAGGCACAUGCAUGUUCAUUUGUUUGGCUCAACUUCACCUAUCUUCCAUUUUUCAUCAAAAGAACAUGAAACAACGACCAUUUCCUUCAUUUUAAUUCAUGACCAAAUGCUCACAAUACAACCAAAAACCAAAAUAUGCUUCAAGAGUUAAGGUAGAAUCAAGAAGAACUCAUGAACAUCAAGAUAGAAGCAAACUACCAUGAACUUACCUUCAAUUUUCUUCCCCAAGUGACCAAACAUUUAAGAGCUUUCUCCUCUCCUUUCUCUUCUCUAACUUUAGGCUAUGAUGAACAAAGAUGGACAAAACUUUGUUCUUUUCAUCCCUUUUUCUUUUAAUAAAAUUUCAUAUUUCAUCCAUUUAAUUUUUUAAUACAAAGACAUGAAAUUCCCAUCAUGGAACAUUUACCUAAACCAUUAUCAUGGAACAUUUACCUAACCCAUUAUCAUGGAAUAUUUACCUAAUCCAUUGUCAUGGAACAUUUACCUAACCCAUUAUCAAUUUGUAUCAAUUUGUACCAUAAAUUAUGGAUAUCAAGUGCUCAUAUUGUCUACAACAACAUGAUGGCUAGCCACUUCAUGUAAAAUGGGAGGUUUGUCAUGCAAAUCCUCCUAUUUUGCACUCCUAUUUAUUUGGCCACUUCAAUUUAGCCUAUAGCAUUUUCAAACAUUUUCACAUAGGUUUUAUUUCAUAAUUUCACCCCCUUUUUCUUAUGGAACAAAAAUUAACUAAAAUUACCGGGUUCUAUCUUAAGCUUGGGCCUUCUAGAGGCCCACUAACAUAAUUAAACCUAUGCCAACAUUCACAGAAUUCUCGAAAAUUGGGGCGUUACAGUAGGUACUAAAUCCAUUUCUCCAAAAGUGAAACACUUGUACGCAGAAUUCCAAAACUGAACUAUAACCUGAAAUAGAUGCUUGUCAACUCUAAUGUCUAGCAAGUAGGAUAUAUCACCGUAGCUUUGAUAAAACAACUGCUUGGUCCCUUCAUCCCAACUAGCCUAAAUGUCUCUCAACUCUUGCAGCUCAUUCUGUGCUACGUUGACGCGAGUGAAAUCUUGCAAAUCCGAUAUAUACCCUUCUGCCAAGCUAUCCCCUCUCUCGGAUUGUAGCCUCUCCGACCAUGCACGAACGGUUGCAUUAUCCUCGACUUUACUAAGAAAUUCAUUCUCCAUGUCAAACUUUCUAACUUAGUAAUUGAAUACGGAUUAACACCUCCUUUAGUAUGCAAUGUCAUGCAAAAAAAAACAAUCAAAACAAAACACAGGUUAGUACCACAUAAUAAUGAUAAAAUGCAAGCACAUAAACGAUAAUUACAACGCAUAUACGGCUAAGUACUAAGGCUCGACGCGGCUUCACCCAAGGAUAGCUCCUAAGGUUCAUUAUAUGUGGUUCGGUUCUAGAGAUAAGGUACCCGAACCAGCAGAUUCCUCAAUCCUCACCUAUUAUAGGCUCAUAUAGAUCGAGUUCGGUUCGGGGGGAUACAUUUCCCUAUGACCAUGCGGAGAUGAAACUCUCACGAAAUCAUAGGUACGGAUGUACCCCGGAAGUAAUCCACUAGCCCAUGCGGAGGUGAAAACCUCACGAAAGCGUAGUUUCUUACUCCCACUUAGAAGGUGUGACCACAGCGGUCACGCAAUGAAAUACAGUACUAUUCUACGAGAUUUGAACCAUAACAAUCAUACAAACAAAUGCAAUUAUGAUUUUCAAAACAAGUUUUCGAUUUUUGACAAAAAGACAGCAAAUAAAUCGAUUUUAUGGCUCGACUCUCAAUCUCAUCCCCAGCGGAGUCGCCAAGUUGUCGAAACCAUCCUUUUUUCAAAAAAAAAAUUUAGGUUAAUGAAAAACGGACAGAGAUCGACUUUUUGAAAAUAAGACAUGGAAACGAAGUCGCCACCGAUCUUUUGUUUUAGUGUGAUCGGAUCGCCUAAGAAUUAAAAUAUUUUUGGUUUACUAAAACAACGAUUCUGGUCUACGAAAAUAUGAGAAAAUGGGCUCGGGAGUCAGUUACGUAUGAGGAAGGAUUAGCACCCUCACUACGCCCAAAAUUAGUACCAAAUCGAUUAAAUACUAUCCUUAUGCCUAAAAUUAAAAAUGUUUUUGAAACGUGGUUCUUUUUUAAUAAUAUUUGAAUAACCCGAGUUGGUUGCCAAAAAUCUUCUUGCUUUGACGUCCGAAAAUUUAUAAUUCGAAAAUCACAAAAGGAUGCUCAACUAUUUAGUCCAACAGAAAACCGAAACCCAGCACAGUAGGGUACGAUUCCUCGCAUUUCCCAAACAUUGACCAUUGCCUCACCUUAGAAAAUACGAGUGAAAUUCCGAAAGAGAUAUUCGAUUAUUUUAAACAAAUGGGGAUUGCAACCCAGCACGAUAGGGCACUAUUCGUCGAAUUGCCAAACAUCGAAUAUUUCUUCAGUUUUAAAGAGUUUUUAGAAAACGUGAGUGGAAUUCCGAAGAGAUCUUCGAUCGUUUUGAACAAAUGAAAAAGCACAAUCCAGCACGAUAGGGGACGAUUCUCGAAUUGCCAAACAUCGAACAUCGCCUUUGUUUUGAAGGGUUUUCUUAAAAAACAUAAGUGAAAACCUAAAGGAACAUUCGAUUAUUUUGAAAAAACGAGAAAUCACAACCCAACACGAUAGGGCAUGAUUCUCGAAUGGUCGAACACCGAGUAUUGCCUUCGUUUUAAAGGACUUUUAGAAGAUCUGAGUGAAAUUUCGAAGGGAUAUUUGAUUAUUUUGAGCGAACGAGAAAUUACAACCCAACACGUUAGUGCACGAUUCCGCGAAUUGCUAAAUAUCAAACUUUGCCUUCGUUUUAAAGAAUUUUUAAAAGGCGUGAGUGAAAUUUUGAAGGGAUAUUCGAUUAUUUUGAGCAAACACAAAAUUGCAACCCAGCACAUUAGGGCACUAUUUCGCGAAUUGCCAAAUAUCAAAUCUCAUCUUCGUCUUAAAGAAUUUUUAAAUGGAUACUUAUAAAACUAGCUUAAAACAUAUUAAUUCGACUUGAAGUAAAACGGAGUCGAUCUUAAGAAUUGGGAUUUUAUAAAACCACAUUUCAAAAAUCACGUGGAAAACGAUGAUAUGGGGUGAUGUACACAUAUGAAAUGCCAUACUUGAUGAAUGAGAAUAUUAAUCAACUACCAGAAUAAGCAAUUAAAUAUAAUUAACCUAAGUUAUAACCUAAUUUCAACUGCGUAUGAAUAAUAAUUGACAUAUCAACAAGAUGAAUACCAUGCAAUGGUAAUGUAUAUGCUACAAUAUAGAAAAACCUAAAAGAUAUAUGCAAAACAAAAUACAAUUCAAAAGUCAAAGUAGUAUAAAACGAUGUCGAAACAAAGGCGAUCUAAUGAACCAAUAAUUUAUACGACAUGCGAAUUAAUGAAUUGAUGCAUUUUAAAUCUAUUUGUAAAAGAAAAAAAAACCUAGGGAUAUAUACUUAAUACAUAUUAUAAAAUGAAUGUUUUAAUCGGACAUCAUACCAAAACAUUAAAUAAUAUUGGUUUUAAAAAUGAGGAUUUAUAGUAUGAAAAAUUUAAAAUAUGUGUAAAAUAUAUUAAAAAUAAUAAUAAUAAAAAUGUAUAAUACCAUAUAAUCUUUAAAAACAUAAUGGUUCUACAAAUUAUACGUAUAUAUAUAUAUAACUUUUAAAAAUUAUUAUUUGUAAAAAAUAUUGAAAUAUCUACGAGCUUAAAUUAAUUUUAUUAUAAAUUAUAUAAUGGAUUGAAGAAUAUGCUUACAUAUGUAUGAAGAAAACUAUAUGUGUAAAAUGUAUGGUUUUGAUAAUGUAUAUAAACCAAAGAUAUGUACAAAUAUAAGUAAGUAUAAAAUAAUUUAAACUUUAUGCAAAAUAUAUAAAAACAUAUUAAAAUACAAAAAAUAUAGGUUAAAAUGCAUGGAUAGAGUCAACAAAUCAUUAGGUGCAUGAAAUAAUAUUAACUUUAUUUUAAAAUAUACAUAUAUGUAUCUAAAAGAACGUUUUAAACAAACAAAUUUAAAGAAAAAUAAAUAGAUGGAUAUAUAUAGUUACAUAUAUAGAUAUAUAUACAUGGAAUGAUGUUAACUUAUUAUAAAGUGUAUAUAUACAUAUAUAUAUGAUAAUGCGUAAAACAUUUGUACAAGAUACAUAAGUUUUAUUAUAAAAUAUGUGUGUGUACAGUAAUACAAAGGAAAUAAACAUUUAAAACAUACAAAACGUGAUAAUAACAUUACAAACGAACAAAAAAUUUAUAAAAAUGGAGAAACAAUGAUCAAAGUGAUUGAAUAUGCAAAAAUAAUUGAUUAAGAAUAAAAAAAAGGAUAAAACAAAGAAAAACUUAAUUAAAAUUAAACUAAAACAGCAGGGACAAUUUGAAAAUAAAACAAUAGCAAUAAAAGGACCAAUAAUUAACGCGCGAAAAUAGCUAGGGACUAAAACUGGUAAUAUACCAGAUCCCAAAAUGCUGCGUUUAGACGCGGGUCCAUUUGCAAACGGGUGUAAAUCAUAGGGGUAAAUUAAUAAAAAACGAAACAAGAAUACGGGCUGAUUUGAAUAUGGCGCGAAAGGGAGGGACUGAUAUGGCAAAUAACCCCUCACCACGAAAAUGCGCGGGUCCUGGGGGUUAGGAGUCGGAUCGGGUCGAGUGUACCAAUAUGACGCCGUUUGGGAGGUCAUUGGGCAAAACCUAAAAUGGUGCCGUUUGAGGUCCUAUAAAAAUGCUAAAUCAGUAGAUUAAGCCGAACCCUAACCCUAGCCUCACUCCUUUCUCUCCAGCAGCCCCCAGAUCCCUCUCCUCAAAUGCCAAGCCGCCGUCAUGUGGAUGACCAACAUCCUCAGGCUGUGCGCGACUGUUUUUAUAGCCUUGUAGUUCCCCUUAAGUCUCUGAUUUUGGCGAAGAAAAGGAGAACCGAUGGCCUAAUUUCAAGGUAAGGUUUCAUUUUUUUUUGCACACUCAAAUUGCGAAGGAACAAAUGAAAAUAAAAAUAACAAGAACAAACUGAACAAAGAAGAAAAGAAGAGUCUCAGAGAUUUGAAUCGAAAUCACAUUCGAAUACUCAUUGCUUUUUUUGGUAUAUUCCUCUGUUUUUCGUUUUCUAUUGUUUUUGUAUGCGUAAAUGUGCGUAACAAAAAAAAAUAGACAAGGACUCUAGCUUUAUAGCAGAAACAAAAUCAGAAAGAUAUAAAAUACCAAUACAAAAUUCUUCUUUCCUAUUUGCUGUUGUGGUUUUGUAUUCUUUUGCAGGUACGGGUGCAAGGCGCGUGUACGGGUGUUGUGCUGGCACUUGGCGUGGGCGUACGAGGGCUGGGGCUGCUAUCUAGUUGCUGUUGUGGCGCAGGAGAAAAGGGGUGACCUAGGGUUUGCCGAAAUUGGUUUGGUAUUUGGGCCGUUUGGGCCCGUUUAUGUUAGGGAUAGAUAUUUUUGGGCCAAUAAACUGUUAAUAUUGGUUGUAAUAUUUUGACUUUUAUGAUAGACUAUUAGUUUGGUAUUAUUCUUUGGACUUUUGGUUUAAUAACUGGGUAUUUAUUUUGGGUUUUGGUUCUAACGUGGGCCCAGGCAAAUUGGCCCAUUUACACCCAUGACCCAAAAACUCCCUGGGCUGCUGUGCUUGUUUCGAAAUGUCUAUGUAAUGAUACCAGUCGUUCCCAGUGCUCUCCCACUUGGAAUGGCCUUAAUAUCACACAACACCUUCUGUCUAAGGGCAUUAGAUGGUUUGUUAGCAAUGGUUCCAACAUGAAUAUUUGGUCUGAAAGUUGGUCAGGGCUUGGCCUCAUUAGAAAUCUCAUUAAAGGU